CAGAGGAAAUAUAUAAUUGGAGUUGAUUUAAUCAAAUAAAAUAAAAGUUCUGUGUAUUAGUGUCAAAUGUAAGGCAUAAAACAUUGACUGGAAUGAAAAGGAAGGUACAGCAAAUUAGGAACAAGAAAAGAAAAUAACAUCUUGAAACUGGGGUGCUGUGGGGGCGGACAGCCCAUGGUGACGUCCCCGAGCAACAGGCUGUGACAUCACCGGGUGAUGGAUUGUGACUGCUCAGCCCUCACUGCUCAUAGUGGGGUGCCGGCAGAGCCUGGCUCAGUCUGGCUCGUUCCUGGACCCUGCUGAGCAGCUCUGCGAGGCUUGGAGGUUCCUCGAGCAAGGUUUUGGCUGUGCUGUGUUGGGUCGUGCCUGUGGCUGCUCGCAGCAUCUCAGUGCCUGACCCACAGCAUCACUUCUGUUUCCCCGGCCCUGCCCAGUGCAGGCAGCUGGGACUCUACUGAGUGCACCCGCAGCAGAGGAGAGUGAGACACCACCGCUGCAGCUCUGGUGAAGAAUAAGAGCUCGUCAUCCUCAGUUCUCCAGGACAGCUGCAGCGAGAGGAACGUGUCUGCAGAAGAGGAGUGGACAUGUUCCAUGUGUCGCAGUGUGCGACAGGACAUGACCCAUGUAAUUCCAUGUAAUCACACAUUCUGCCUGGGCUGCAUCCAGCUGUGGGCGAUUCUGAGGGACAGCUGCCCGCUGUGCAGGACGGCCAUGCGGACCAUCCGGGUCUGCGUGUGGGUAGACAAUCAGUUCGUGGACUGCAUCGUCUCCCCGCCCGCAGUGCCGGUGCCCGUCGGCUUCAUCACCACCACCGGCCCCAAAGUGCAAAACUCGGCACGUAGAAAAAACGGAGAAGCAAAACACCAGCACGGAGGAAAAAUGCGGCACCGAUAUACCAACAUCCAGUGAUUACUACAAAUACCUUUGCAGCCUUGCAGACUACCCAGUGAGCUGGGAUGGAGAACCUGAGGAAAAGAGGGAAAGGAGAAGUCCAAGUGUGGAGAGCCUAUGAAGGAAGAGCAGCAGACACCAUGGCACUUCCUGAAAGGCACAGGAACCACCAGAAACAUCACCAUCAUUAGUUUAAUUCUUAGUUUAGUUCUUAGUUUAGUUCUUAAAAUAAAAGUAGUUAUGAACUAUACUGUUGUAUUAGUAAGUGUGAUACAAGUUGAUCUCAAAUAAGAAGUAGAAAUGUGUUACCGCAUAUAUGGAAUAUCACUUCUAGUAGUGUCAGAAAAAGAAG